rnacentral:rRNA from 1 species
CCUACGGGAGGCAGCAGUAGGGAAUCUUCCACAAUGGACGAAAGUCUGAUGGAGCAACGCCGCGUGAGUGAUGAAGGUCUUCGGAUCGUAAACCUCUGUCAGCAGGGAAGAACGGUCACUGUGCUAAUCAGCAGUGAAUUGACGGUACCUGCAAAGGAAGCACCGGCUAACUCCGUGCCAGCAGCCGCGGUAAUACGGAGGGGGCGAGCGUUAAUCGGAAUUACUGGGCGUAAAGCGCUCGUAGGCGGUAUGUCAAGUCAAGGGUGAAAUCCCCGCGCUCAACGUGGGUACUGCCUUUGAAACUG